rnacentral:rRNA from 1 species
UACAGGGGGUGCAAACGUUGCUCGGAAUCAUUGGGCGUAAAGCGCACGUAGGCGGUUCGUUAUGUCGGAUGUGAAAGCCCUUGGCUUAACCGAGGAAGUGCAUCCGAGACUGGCGAGCUAGAGUACUAAAGAGGAUCGCGGAAUUCCCGGUGUAGAGGUGAAAUUCGUAGAUAUCGGGAGGAACACCGGUGGCGAAGGCGGCGAUCUGGGUAGAUACUGACGCUGAGGUGCGAAAGCGUGGGGAGCAAACAGG